rnacentral:rRNA from 1 species
UACGAAGGGGGCUAGCGUUGCUCGGAAUCACUGGGCGUAAAGGGUGCGUAGGCGGGCGCGGUAAGUCGGAUGUGAAAUCUCGGAGCUUAACUCCGAAACUGCAUUCGAUACUGCCGUGCUUGAGGACUGGAGAGGAGACUGGAAUUUACGGUGUAGCGGUGAAAUGCGUAGAUAUCGUAAGGAAGACCAGUGGCGAAGGCGGGUCUCUGGACAGGUUCCUGACGCUGAGGCACGAAGGCCAGGGGAGCAAACGGG